rnacentral:rRNA from 1 species
AUUGAACGCUGGCGGCAUGCCUUACACAUGCAAGUCGAACGGCAGCACGGGAGCAAUCCUGGUGGCGAGUGGCGAACGGGUGAGUAAUAUAUCGGAACGUGCCCAGUCGUGGGGGAUAACGUAGCGAAAGCUACGCUAAUACCGCAUACGAUCUAUGGAUGAAAGCGGGGGAUCGCAAGACCUCGCGCGAUUGGAGCGGCCGAUAUCAGAUUAGGUAGUUGGUGAGGUAAAGGCUCACCAAGCCGACGAUCUGUAGCUGGUCUGAGAGGACGACCAGCCACACUGGGACUGAGACACGGCCCAGACUCCUACGGGAGGCAGCAGUGGGGAAUUUUUGGACAAUGGCGCAAGCCUGAUCCAGCCAUGCCGCGUGUGUGAAGAAGGCCUUCGGUUGGUAAG